GAUGAACGCUGGCGGCGUGCCUAAUACAUGCAAGUCGAGCGAACAGACGAGGAGCUUGCUCCUCUGACGUUAGCGGCGGACGGGUGAGUAACACGUGGAUAACCUACCUAUAAGACUGGGAUAACUUCGGGAAACAGGAGCUAAUACCGGAUAAUAUAUUGAACCGCAUGGUUCAAUAGUGAAAGACGGUUUUGCUGUCACUUAUAGAUGGAUCCGCGCCGCAUUAGCUAGUUGGUAAGGUAACGGCUUACCAAGGCAACGAUGCGUAGCCGACCUGAGAGGGUGAUCAGCCACACUGGAACUGAGACACGGUCCAGACUCCUACGGGAGGCAGCAGUAGGGAAUCUUCCGCAAUGGGCGAAAGCCUGACGGAGCAACGCCGCGUGAGUGAUGAAGGUCUUCGGAUCGUAAAACUCUGUUAUUAGGGAAGAACAAAUGUGUAAGUAACUAUGCACGUCUUGACGGUACCUAAUCAGAAAGCCACGGCUAACUACGUG
rnacentral:rRNA from 1 species